AGGGAAAAUAUUAUAGGUUUACUGCUAAUAAGCCUAAGAAACCUACGAGUUUCAUUUUCCUU
rnacentral:tRNA from 1 species